UACGUAGGGACCGAGCGUUGUCCGGAAUCAUUGGGCGUAAAGAGCGUGUAGGCGGCUUGUUAAGUCUUGCGUGAAAUCUCGGGGCUCAACCCCGAGCGGUCGUGAGAAACUGGCAGGCUAGAGUGCGGGAGAGGAGAGUGGAAUUCCUGGUGUAGCGGUGAAAUGCGCAGAUAUCAGGAGGAACACCAAUUGCGAAGGCAGCUCGCUGGGACGUUACUGACGCUGAGACGCGAAAGCGUGGGGAGCAAACAGG
rnacentral:rRNA from 1 species